rnacentral:rRNA from 1 species
AUUGAACGCUGGCGGCAUGCCUAACACAUGCAAGUCGAACGAGUGGCGGACGGGCGAGUAAUGUCGGGGAAACUGCCUGAUGGAGGGGGAUAACUACUGGAAACGGUAGCUAAUACUGCAUAACGUCAGAUGUGCCGAGGUGGGAUGAGCUUGUUGGUGGGGUAACGGCUCAUCAAGGAGACGAUCCCUAGCUGGCCUGAGAGGCUGACCGGCCACACUGGAACUGAGACACGGUCCAGACUCCUACGGGAGGCAGCAGUGGGGAAUAUUGCACAAUGGGCGCAAGCCUGAUGCAGCAAUGCCGCGUGUAUGAAGAAGGCCUUCGGGUUGUAAAGUACUUUUGGCGGGGAAGCGUUACCCAACGAAAAAGCAACGGCUAACUCCGUGCCAGCAGCCGCGGUAAUAC